rnacentral:ncRNA from 1 species
UUGACAUUUGACGCGCCCUGUUGUCCUGUAUCCCUUUGGCGGGGAAUUUCGUGCAAGUCGAAAACAGUCGCGCUGCGGUAAGAGGGGACAAGGUUUCUUUUCGCCUGCUCAGGAUGGGCGGCGUUUGACAGCCAAUCGCGCAAGCGGUGAAGGCGAAACCAAGGCGCUGGCCCUGCGGCCACACAGCCCUCAAGUCCGAACACCCGCCGGGGCCACAGCCCUUUUG